CACAUUUGGUGCGCUCUAAAAGUUGAACUAUGUUUCGCCUAUCACUUUGAACAAAGCUAUAGACACAAUAUGGUUAGUAAAAGCUUUGAAAUUAAGUAUUGGACCAUUACGCUUUCGACGUUCACAUGCUUUGUGGUAUUGUGUCCACUGUGCACUACAAAGACUCGAACCUAGUGACUCCUGUACAGCCGAUGCACCUGGCGAUGGGUGGCGAUAACUGAACACUGUGCAGCCUUGAUGCCGACGAGGACCUGAGCCCUAGGAUCGUGCCUCAGGACUACCUGGCCUGAUGACUCCUUGCUGUCCCCAGUCCACCUGGUCGUGCUGCUGCUCCAGUUUCAACUAUUCUGCCUGCGGCUAUGGAACCCUGACCUGUUCACCGGACGUGCUACCCUUCCCAGACCUGCUGUUUUCAACUCCCUAGAGACAGCAGGAGCGGUAGAGACUCUCUGAAUGAUAUGCUAUGAAGAGCCAACUGACAUUUACUCCUGAGGUGCUGACCUGUUGCACCCUCUACAACCACUGUGAUUAUUAUUGUUUGACCCUGCCGGUCAUCUGUGAACAUCUUGGUCAUGUUCUGUUAUAAUCUCCACCUGGCACAGCCAGAAGAGGACCGGCCACCCCUUAUAGCCUGGUUCCUCUCUAUAGGUUUCUUCCUAGGUUCUGGCCUUUCUAGGGAGUUUUUCCUAGCCACCGUGCUUCUACACCUGCAUUGCUUGCUGUUUGGGGUUUUAGGCUGGGUUUCUGUACAGCACUUUGUGACAUCAGCUGAUGUACGAAGGGCUUUAUAAAUACAUUUGAUUGAUUGAUUAAUCUUACCCAUUAGGAUUAACACUGCAGUUUUGGAGAGCUAACAGCAGUUUUGGAGAAUUAACACAGCCGGUAAGGAGAAUUACCACAGCAGGUUACAAGAACUAACGCAGCAGUUUAGGAGAACUAAUACAGCAGUUUAGGAGAACUAACACAGCAGGUUUGGAGAGCUUACCCAUCAGUUUAGGAUAACUUACCCUGCAGGUUAGGGGAGCUUACACAGCAGGUUAUGAGAGCUGAUCUGAUCUAAUCUGAUGUUUAGGAGAGCUAACACUGCAUAUAGGGUUAAUUAACACAGCAGGUUAGGAGAACGUACUCAGCAGUGUGGGAGAAUCAACCCUGCAGUUUACAAGAAUUUACGCAGCAGGUUAGGAGAACUAACAAAGCAGGUCAGGAGGACUUACCCUGCUUAACCCAGCAGGAGAAUUAACACAGCAGGUUAGGAGAAUUUACGCAGCAGGUUAGGAGAAUUAACACAGCAUGUUAGGAUAAUUUUUACUUUAACUUUACCUACAUGUACAUAUUACCUCAAUAUCCUAAACUAACCGGCGCCCCUGUGCAUUGACUCUCUAGCGGGUUCCCCUGUAUAUAACCUCGCUACUGUUAUUCUACUGCUGCUCUUUUAACUUUUUACUCAUCUAUUUUUUACUUAACACUUUUUCUUAAAACUGCAUUUUUGGUUAAGAGCUUGUAUGUAAGCUUUCACUGUAAGGUGAACAACACCUGUUGUCUUCUGCGCAUGUGACAAAUACAAUUUGAUUUUAAUUUAAUUGAAUUAGGUUCAUGUUAGGGUUAGGGUUAGCUAAAAUUCACAAAACAAAUCUACUUUUGACGUUAAUUUGACAAAAGCAGGAUCCCUUCUAGCCUUGACCUGAUUACCCGGAUGGAUGUCAAUUUACAGUUUCAAAAACGUGUUGGAGUGAUUCUCCGUCAACUUACUGGAAUGGACCAGCCAGCAACUGGCAUUCUUACCUUAGAAUGAGACCACCUGAAAAUGUAAAUUAGAAAUGUCUGCCAAAUGGAACAGGUGAGAGAGGAUGCAUUGUGCUGGACAGGUACUGUAGGCCUGUAAAUAUUUUGUAUCUUACCUUGGUCAACUGUUUUGUCAAUUUCAUUCUGCCGUGUGUCCUUUGAUGGGACUACAGAGCCAGUGUCAAUGCUUUUCCAGGAAUGCUAUCAUGGUUAAGAUAAUAAACUUCAACCAGAGAUGGGUCAACCUUGUUUCCUCUGGUACGUAACUCAAAUUUGCAUAUUGGAUUUAUACAUUAAAUGUUUGUUUGUUUAUUCUUAUAUCUUGUCUUGUGAGUUGACAGUAUGGUUUGGUGUCACAAGCCCACCUGUAAUGGUCAUGUCAGUGUAGGUUAUAGGCUAGACCUAUCUCCAUAGGCCUGUCUAACCCUAUAACACACAGCCUAAUCUUGUCCCAUGCUUUUGGAAGAACCUUGGGAAGGGCCAUUUCAGGCACUAAUCUGAUGAUGACUGAAGAAGAUAUUGAAUAGUUCUUUUUUGUUCUAUCUAAGUAGACAAGCUUUUCAAAAUAGCAUUUACUUCUCCUGGUGUCCUAGAAUUGUUGUAAGCCUCCCUCAAGUAAAAAAUCUGAAAUUCU